ACAGAACAUCUUCCUUACCAACACUGGCACUGUGCAGCUUGGGGACUUUGGUAUAGCAAAAGUUUUAAACUCGACUGCUCAGCUUGCCCACACCUGCAUUGGUACACCUUAUUAUUUAUCUCCUGAAAUUGUAGAGAACAUGCCUUAUAAUAACAAAAGUGAUAUAUGGUCUAUGGGUUGUGUGCUAUAUGAGCUAACCACACUGAAACAUGCAGUU